rnacentral:rRNA from 1 species
AGCAGUCGCCACGGUAAUACGAAGGGUGCAAGCGUUAAUCGGAAUUACUGGGCGUAAAGCGUGCGUAGGCGGUGAGUUAAGUCUGCUGUGAAAUCCCCGGGCUCAACCUGGGAAUGGCAGUGGAUACUGGCUCGCUAGAGUGUGUCAGAGGAUGGUGGAAUUCCCGGUGUAGCGGUGAAAUGCGUAGAGAUCGGGAGGAACAUCAGUGGCGAAGGCGGCCAUCUGGGACAACACUGACGCUUAGGCACGAAAGCGUGGGGAGCAAACAGGAUUAGAUACCCCCGUAGUCCCUGUCUCUUAUAC